ensembl:lncRNA
AGAAUGGAGCUGGAGCGGAUGGUGAGGAAAAGAAAGAAACGGAACGGGGAAAGAGAAAGAGAAAUCCGAAGAGGGGCGGGGAGUGGGAAGGAAAGCUAUGAUGUAUGGACGCUCGCCAGCACCCAGCCAAGCGCCCCAUCGCCCAAGCCUGCCUGCCUCCCUCACUGGUCGGGAGACCAAGGGCUCCCUGGGGCUGACAGCCCUCCUGACCCCGGCUCGGGCAAGGCGCUGAUGCCCCAAGUAGCCUCUGCAGCCAGCCCAUCCGACCCGCCACUCCCUGGACCGCGCUCGCCACCCGGGCCCCGACUUCUCCCGGCGCCCCCAUCACUAGUCUCGGGGGCAAAGCCGAGAUGAGCAGAGAGCAGCUCAAGGGCUGGAAAAAUCAAAAAGGAGAGAAAGGGACAGAGGCAACCAAAAAGAUUUUUUUUGUAAUAAUCUGGUAACAUCACGGGGAAGCGCCAGGGGAGGGACCGAGGCGAGCACCUGGGAAGGAGCACACUGUGGCAAACACCCGGGGCUCCGGCGGGCUAGGCGAUUUCCCACAAAAGGAACUUUGCAAGGAGCGCAGCGGUUUGCAAUGGGAGAGAAGGCGAUCGCAGCGUUACCUGGCCGAGGUCAUGCCCGCGGGCCGCCGAAAUCCUCAGGUUUGCGGAAUUGAGCCACUUGAUCAGGUUACUAUGGAAAUCGUCUUAAGGGGAGAGGGGGUAUAAAGCGACCCAGGCAUAUCCUUGUCACCGCGAAGGAAACUGCUGGGGCUGCGAGCGCGGGCGCGGGACCGGGCGCGGCACCUCUCCGGCCCGGCUGGCUGCGUCCUGCUCCUCGGCCGGGCCGCGCCUCCCCGCCCCGCGCCGCCGCCGAGCAGCCCGCGGCCGCCGAGCUCUCCGCGCGCAGCCGGAGCGAAAGCGCGAGCUCGCGGUGCCAGCCGGCCUGGGCGGAGAGAGGCGCUGUUUCCCAGCCGCACAGCUGGAAUUUAAAGAGACAGACGCGCCGCCGGGUUUGGGGCCCCGGCCCUGGAGGGGAGCCCGCCCCGCCGCCGGACGCCCACGGUCUGCUCCCCGGCAGAAAGCACCCAGAGGGUCCCCGCGAGAAGUUUCCUGGGCGACAGUGCGAGGAGCGUGAGGACCAGCCUCAGCCUCCCCUCGAGAAGGCAAACUGCAGACUGCAAGGAGAGACUCUGGAAAUACAAGAUUAAACGUACAUUCCAACCUCUCCUCCAGCAUCUUCUGCGAGAUCCCCAGCAACUAGGAACACAGGUCUGCCUCUGUGGCUGAGAAGCAGCAAAACCUAGCAGGAGGAAGAAUCCAGUCCAGCCCAUUUCUAUUCCUGGCUGAACCGUGACCACGUCUUCCACGGCUGGCUGUCACCGUUAAGACUCCCUCCUAUCUUGUUCCAAACAGAAGAUCUCCAAAAUGAAAAUUCUGCGGUUGGAGUCCAGCAACCUGCCUUUCAACAAGUCUUCCUAAUGAUUCUGAUGCAUUGAUAUGAGAACUACUGGACAACAAAGAAUUAGUGACAUUGUUCUCCUUCGGAAUUGAGAAACCUGCAUUCAUCUUCAGCAGACAUCAGUCGAG